rnacentral:lncRNA from 1 species
UGGAACCUUCUUCACCACCUGCACCACCCCCUCUUCCUACGUCAACGCCACCAUCCACGCCUGCCCCUCCUCCAUCAUCGCCACCCCCACAAGCUCCUGCUUCCCAGUCCAAGCGAUCCCGCUGGCCACUGCGCCACCUGCAGUUGAGGCCCAAGAGCCAAAUUUCAUGGAGGACCCCCCGAGCGCCUCCACACCAUACGUAUCAGCUGGAGGGGGUCCCCCUUCAAAUG